UACGUAGGGUGCAAGCGUUAUCCGGAAUUAUUGGGCGUAAAGAGCGUGUAGGCGGCUAGAUAGGUCCGUUGUGAAAACUGGAGGCUCAACCUCCAGCUGUCGAUGGAAACCAUCUGGCUAGAGUCCGGAAGAGGAGAGUGGAAUUCCUGGUGUAGCGGUGAAAUGCGCAGAUAUCAGGAAGAACACCCGUGGCGAAGGCGGCUCUCUGGGACGUGACUGACGCUGAGACGCGAAAGCGUGGGGAGCGAACAGG
rnacentral:rRNA from 1 species